AAUUUGAACAAAACACAAAGUACAGCUAAGGCUGAUGGGAAUGUCAUUAGUUUUGCAGGUAUUUUGUAAAUUAAAGUUUUGACCUGAUGAUUGCGCUAGAUGAAAAGUUAAGGGGUCAUCAAUGUUUUUGCAAUUCAUCAUGAGGGGAACAGGAAUGUUUGUACCGAAUUUCAUGGCAAUCCAAUAUUUUGUGAGACAUUUCACUGAAAACCACAAAUGCCAACCUGCUGCUGGCACUAAAGAAAAAGUCAGGGGAUCACCAAAGUCUUUUUUACUGUCCAGAAUCUAUGAACAACACAAAUCACAGCACAAAAUUUUGCAGCAAUCCAUCUUGUAGAAGUUGAGAUAUUUCACAGGAUAAGUGAAAACUUUGACAUGCUAGUGGCACUAGAUGAAAAGUCAAGGAAUCACCAAAGUUAGUAGGAUUCAUCCUCUGGGGAUCAUGAAUGUCAAAAUGUACAAAAUGUCAUGGCAAUCCAUCCAAAAGUUGUUGAGAUAUUUCAGUCUGGACCAAAGUGGUGGACGGAUCAACUGACAUUACCAUCUAAAACAGGUAACUUUCAAUAAAUGUGAUCUAACAAUAUUUACAAAUGUCAAUUAGGUUAGAUUUCGCUUGUACAAUUACAUGGCAUGGACUUUCCUGGGUUUGCCCCCCCCCCCCAUCCUGACCUGGUGAUUGAUUUGGUCUGGUGUGAUGUCAUUUCCUCACUGUCUGCAGUUUCUUGCUACUCCUGUUGGCUGAUGCGGUUCACUGCAGGUUCAUUAGGCUCUUCUCAUUUCUCUAUUUUGUGCCACCUCAUCUCCUCUGUCCUCUGUCCUCCUGUCUGGAAAUCGUUCUCAGAGCUACAUCUUGAAGGAUGUCUCAAUUCCUAAAAUUCAUCUCGAGGAGAGAGGAGGGUUGCCGGAAGAGCUAUGAGCGUGGAUCCACAGGUGUUUUCUUUGUGGAAGUCUUCGGCACCCGUGAUGUAUAAAAGAUGCGUGACAAUGGAGAGAUGAUGCCGCUGUGCCACACGUUAAUUGAUGUCGCUUUAAAUUGACGGCUCCAAAGCAAGGAUCUCAGGUGGGAGGGACUAAGACACAAGGAGAGGACGUGAGGAAAGGAAUCAAGGAUGUGCAAACUGAGAAAUGAGUAGAAGGGAUUGUCUCCAUGAGGUGUCUCCAUGAGGUGCAGUGGAGAGUUUGUCCUCCUCUGUCUUGAUCAGGAUGGAUCUGGACCUCAUGAGAAGCUGGGUUGGGCUCUUUAGUCCAUUAACACAUGUGUUUUACUACUGUAGCUGGCUCAAGUAAGGGUUAAUUCUUCAGCUAUGAAAUUUUCCAACGCUGACUGAGCUGUCUUGACUGUUCUCUCAGGCAGUCCAUUGCUCGUUGGGCAGUGAGUGCCUGAGAUGACAUAGUUAAAGCACCAAGAUUUAAUAAUAGCUUUGAAAUCGCUGUUGCAAGUGAAAGUAAUUAUUGAGAUCCAGGGACACAUUUCUACAAUAAAAUCCCACGGAGCAAGAAGCACAAGCCGUCAGAUGAUCUGAAGGGUUAUAAACAAGCCAACAGGUUAUCAGAUUAUCUAAACCACUUUAUCUGGAGGUGAAACCGAAAUUGAACGCACCCAAAUUUUCGGCAAUAAUCCCCCAUUCCACAGGAAAACAGGGUGCACACAACUACAGUAAGUGUGUUCAAACUCACCAGGAAGUUGGUCUGUAAACUCUGAUGGAUGUUUACAGCGGACAGUUUGGGUCUUAAUUUUGCUGUUUGCCUUUGUUUUAUCUUCAAAAUACAUUCGCCUAACCUGGUGGAUUGUUUAAUACCUGUCUAAUUGUCUCACUGUUGCCAAGUUGGACCUAUUUUUAGUGAUGUAGCUGUAUAGUGAGAUCUCAGCAAUUAACUUCCAUUUCAUUCUUGUCAUUACUGAUAGAAGUGACACCUAUGAAGAUAUGAUCCAAGUGUUAAUAAACCAGGGUUUUCCUAUAAAAGCUUGGCAACUUUACACUAGAUUUAGAAACUAUUUAGACCUUAUUCAUUAUUUUGUUUCUCAAAAUUGAUUUCUAAAGUAUUUGGUUACAAAUGGCUUGGCUGAGAUUUGCUUGUCAAAUCUAAAGACGCCUGGAUUACAGCGGUUCACCCCUUCCUUCCUUCACUAAAUAUUAGAGAGUAACUACCAUAUGGGCAUGAACACCUGUACAAUGCUGUUGAAUAUAACAGCUCUGCAACAAUUAUCAAAUUUUAUUAACACUGUCAGAAACAUGUAUUUUUUAUGCUGGAAUUAGUGGUGCUGUUGUAUUGUAUUGUAUUACUGAAUUGCAAGGUGCAUGCAAUGUCUUCUCCCUGUUUUACAUAUGGGGAGUGUGGGUGUACAAUUGAAUGCAAUUACUUUGUGUGUUGUGUUAGAUUGUACAUGUGCUCACAUCCCUGAAGGUCUAAAUAAAGCUAAAGGGUCUUGGUCACUGGUCAUUAGGGUAGACAUGAGGCUGUAGUUAAUCUUUACCUUCUCAGUGUUUGAGUUGCCUUCAUGGCAUUCAAGUUUAACCCAUGGGUUUCUUUGCCUUUGGGUUUAAUAUAUCUUUGUGCCUGUCAAUGGCACGGCUAUAAAUGAUACGGUCCCAGAGGCCGUGAAGAACCUUGUCCCUCCUCACAGGAAAUUCUGUGAAAGUCUGUUUUUGCUCCAUAAAGACCGUUACUGAUAUGGGCCAUGGGUGGUAUGACCAAACCAACCAGUCAUGUUAAGAGGGCCUUUUUGUUGCUGUAGGGUACGGAGGGUAAGCCCCAAGGCCAUGCCCGUCUGUCCGUCCUGGGAGAGAAAUCCCUCCUAUGUUGCUCUUACUAAGGUUUCUUCCAUUUUUUCCCCGUUUGAAGGUUUUUUGGGGGGGGGUGUUUUCCUCAUUCGAAUCGAGGGUCUAAGUACAGAGGGUGUCAAAUACUUUACAGAUUGAAAGUUAAAGCUCCUUGAGGCAAAUUGUGAUUUGUGAUAUUGGGCUAUAUAAAAUAAAAUUGACUUGACUUGAAAUGCUUGUGAUGUUAGGAUAAGGGACCUGUAGACUCUCAACUUCAGGUCAAACUUAACCUUGACUCCAAGAGCAAGUCAGUUAUCAGCAAGUUGUCCUGGGGGCUGAUAGCUUGGUGAAAGAAAGUUGGCUGCUCUAUCUGAGCUAAUCUGCUGUCCACAUUAAUUGAAGAGGAAUCUUAUUUUAGCAGAUGGAUUUCCACACAUUAGCAUGAUUAGCCAAAUGGGUUCUGGACAACAGCAACACCAUGACUGCCCUUUUGUUGACCCACUCAGAUGCUGAUGCACAAAUCCAUAUUUGAUUUAGUUCUAUAAUAUGGAUGUAUGAUAUUUUUCUUUUUUUAUUGUGCCUUAAUACUUCUUUUCAAUUUAUUAGGAGUUUCUCUUUGCCCCUUAAUUGCUGUUGUUCCAGAGUAAAGCUCAUUUUGUUUUGCUUUGCUUUUUUGCCCUCCAGAAAUAUUGGCAUUGUGCCAACCAACUAAACAACUAAAAAUGUAAAUAAUCCAAGUAAUAAUAUGCUGUAAAGAUAUAAUAUAUAAUGUACGUUAUUUUAAUUAAAAGCAAAUGCUGAGCUGUUUAUCUUCCUAUAAGUGAUUUUAAAUAAUGCAUGUCAUUAUUGAGGGUGGCUCUCGUUUUUCAUUUUGAACAGGUUUUUUUUGUAUGCACACUCUAGAUCAUUCCUGUUUUGCAAUGAUUUCUGCUACAGAUCAAAUUGUAUGCGUGUUCUAACAUAAGGGAAAAUUCAGAAAUAAUUUUCAAGAUUCAUAGAUGUUUCUAUUAGUCCACAUCAGUUUAAAACUGGUUUAUAUUCAUCUUGCAGAGCUCUUAUUGACCUUUUUUAUUGAUAGGACUGGAAAUUUCAAGUAACAACCUCAGAGAAUUGGACUAAUCAAAUAUUGUGUUAGUGUUUAAAUACAAGGUGCCUGUGCAUGUCAUUCUGUCUUUCUUCACUGUACGUUAUCUGAUGAAGCAAAAAAAGAAAAUGGGUUUUAGAUUGUAGCAUUUGCGUACAGAAUUGGAUUUUUUGUUUUGUACAGCAGUCUUAUCUUUGUGAAAUGCAAAUUUUGUUUAAAUGUUGCAGCCCUACUUCUGCCUGUUAGACCUCCAUCAAAAGCGACUCUCCCUCUGUGACACACUGCAUAUGAGCUCUGAAAGGUGCGAGAAUGACUUCUUGUGGCCAAAUUAGGAAGUGCUCAAUAAUGGCUUGUCAGUGGCUGCUCCUACACACAUAAAAUACUGUAUUUAUAGAGGCAUGGUGACAAAAAUAUUGAAUUAUAUGGUGUGAGUGACAAAUUGAGGGAGAAUUAUACUGUAUGACUAUCUACUACUGCUGUCUUCAGUUUUCCCUUUAGAAUGCAUGCCUACUCUGAAUUCAAUGAAACCUCCAACCAGAAGGUAAUGUAUUGAUUGGCACGUGUUUAAAUGCCAAAUUCAGCACUGAAAGUUUCUUUUGUUUAAUCAUCAUGUGAUUGAUGGCUUUUACCAACACCACUCAAAAAGCAGAACCUCUAUAAGAUAAUUACCUGCUCUGCAAAUUAUUGUAAUUUGAGUUGAACAUCACUAAUUGGUGUCACUAACUGUAAAGAUUUCCAGUAGCCCUAGUGUAAUUAACCAUUUUGAAUGAUCUAGCUUUUUAUUGACAUUUAGCACAAUACAUGAGAAUCCUGAAUAUCAACCUAAUGGAUCUUAUUAGCCAUGUCCUCUAGACCAAGGUGAAUUAAUCAAAGCAGACUUGAUUUAUAUACCCCACCCCUUCCUUUCUUCUUCCACCUCGCUUCCUCUCUCUCUGUGUUUCUUGUGCUCUCUCACACUGAGGCAGCUGGGGAUUCAUUUGUCUUGCUGAUUAAUGAUGAGAACCAUAUCCUCCACAACACCAGUAAAUUAAAAGAGAUUGGGGACAGAGAGAAAGAACAUCAAGGUCCAUUCAUCCCAAUCAAAUUUCACAGUAGGUCCAAUUCAUCCUAAGCUUUAUUUGUAUUGUCUGCUAUACAAACACAAAAAACACCAGUCAUUUACUUUCUCCUCCCAGACCCUCUCUGGCAGUCUGGGGAUUACAACUGGCAACUUUCCAGAUUCACACUCAUUUUUUCAGCCUUCAGCAUACAACCAUACCCAUUGCUUCACUGCUAUGAAAGCAGCAUGUCUGUUUCAGAUUGCAAUUGUUCAUCAGCAGCAGCUACGGCUUGCUGUUAGCACUGUUGCCUCUAUGUGUACAGUCUUUAUGUUCUCCCAGUGUUUGUUUUUGGUGUCCUCCCAGUCUAAAGAAAUACAUUUUUUUCAUUCUGCCCUGUCUCCACACUAUACAGAAUGGACAAUUUAAGCACAAGCUGCUUACUGUACACUAUUUAUUAAAUCCAACACUUUAGCCAGCUACUCCUCACAAGUGUCUCACUCUAAAACAUCUGUGUGGAAACGAGCACCACAUAACAAUACUACUGUUACAUAUUUAAGGUAAUGUACAGUAAGGACAUUGGAGACUCUAGGUAGGUUAGUGUUGUGUAUAUGAUGUAGACCUACUGUAUGUAUGGAGUCUGUGAUGCAAUACGGUAUAUCGUACUCAAUGCUGUAGUGUGGUGUAUGCUAUGCUGUGUAAAGCUCUAAAGGGUUACCACCUGACUAGAAGAAUGAAUCCUUAUACAUGAUGUAACAGACUUUAAACAAAACUAAAAAUCUACAGCCAUGUUAGCAGCUCUGCGAGACUGUGAUCAGGCACGGCAAUGCUUUUAGCUCAACGCUAAUGUCAGCACGCUAACAUGCUCACAAUGACUAUGUUAACAUGCUGAUGUUUAGCAGGUAAUUAUUAACCUACCAUAGAUGCCAUCUUAGUUUAGAGUGUUAGCAUGCUAACAUUAGCUAACAAAAUACAAGUGUAUGCCUAGUGAUCCAUAACAUCAUUUCUGUAACAUGUUUCAGCUGUUUAUAUCACUCUCAAUGUUUUUCUAGGCAGCUUUAAUAUCCUUUCCUUCCCUGCUGUCUCAUAGUAGUUGUUGUAUCAAACUAUUACCUCACAUUAGGAAUCAAUAACCUUUCAUAUUAUGCAUUUGUUGGAAGUACUGACUGCUCGACUCUCAGCAGGACCAUGCAGCGUGUGGACUGGAUUUGUACAUUGUUCAGGGACUCAAUCAGGCCCUACAUUUUUCAUUUAUCCUCACAGCGUUUGGCAGCUUCCCAAAAGGCAUAAAGUGACUGGCGUCUGCAGGAAAUAGAGGGGAGUUCUGAGACUCACUCAGGACACAUCUCUCUAAUUAUUGCUGCCUCUCUCUGCUGUUUUAAAAUCAACUGUAGUUUCCAUCUUUUUUCUGUGGUGCUUUCAUUUAUUCUCUCUGUUUUACCUGCCACUGCCUUUAAAGUCACUCGAGCCUCAUCUUGGAUCAAAAGAUGAGUUACAAGGAGGAGCUGACAGUUUGAAAAUGUGCACCUCUGCUGGGGCAGCAACAAGAAUGAGCAUUAGAUGGUCUGUGAGGUUAGUAACCCACUGACAUUCACCGAUUCAUUGAUCUCUGUAAGAAAUAUGCAGUAAUUAAGGAAGGCAGGGAUGUGAAAAAUAUUAAAUCAGCAGCAAACAGACUUAAAGAGCCUUGUAGAAAAUAUUUGUGUGUACUGUGGGUGUGUCAGUUAAAUAAAACAAGAAUCAACCUGAACAUUUUGUCUUUCAGCUCCAUCUGCAUGACCGGAAGUUAGAUUUGGCACCACUGAAGCAGCGUAUGCUGAUUGUGACAGACAAGUGCACUGAUGCGAAAACUUUGCUCCUGGUUUAAGUGAAAGUGAUCUUUUACACCAAGCAGCAGCUACCACAGCAGACUGGGGAAGACUGCAGUUCCUCUAAUGACCACUAGAUGCAUGGUUUUAUGAAAUUUAAAAUUUUGUUGAACAAUUAUGCUUUAACUGUUCCUUCAAAUUAGUAAUUUGUGUUUUUUAUAUGCUUACUUUGUUCCCUAAGUUCAGAAAUACAUACCCUUGUAUUACUUAAAUGAUUUCCUUAAAUUAUUAAACUGCCCUUGUCUCAAGGACAACAAAUGUAUUCGCUAAGAUAUAUCAAAGCUAAUACAAUUAUUUGUUUAUUGGCCAAAAUCCCUGUGACUCAUUCAAAGAUCAAAAUAAAACUGUAUUAAAUCAUAAGCAUAGCAGAGUGAGACUAUUGAAAGGACAAGUUCAAAUGUGGUAAUGCUAUUAAUACAUUUAAUGGUAUUAAUUAUAAAUUCAGAAUACAUUAAAGGUAAAGGAAACUUGAUUUAGAAUCAUGUGUUUUUUUCCAUGAUGAUGGAAAAACUAACACCAUAAAUUGUUGUUUUUACAUUUUUGUUUGUGUACGGAAUAAAUAAAUGAGAUACA